CCUGGAGACAGGUGCUGCAUGGCUGUCGUCAGCUCGUGUCGUGAGAUGUUGGGUUAAGUCCCGCAACGAGCGCAACCCUUGUCAUUAGUUGCCAUCAUUUGGUUUGGGCACUCUAAUGAGACUGCCGGUGACAAACCGGAGGAAGGUGGGAUGACGUCAAAUCAUCAUGCCCCUUAUGACCUGGGCUACACACGUGCUACAAUGGUUGGUACAACGAGUUGCGAGUCGGUGACGGCGAGCUAAUCUCUUAAAGCCAAUCUCAGUUCGGAUUGUAGGCUGCAACUCGCCUACAUGAAGUCGGAAUCGCUAGUAAUCGCGGAUCAGCAUCGUCGCCGGUGAAUACGUUCCCGGGUCUU
rnacentral:rRNA from 1 species